rnacentral:rRNA from 1 species
UACGUAGGGCGCAAGCGUUGUUCGGAAUCACUGGGCGUAAAGCGCACGUAGGCGGAUUUGUCAGUCAGGGGUGAAAUCCCGGGGCUCAACCUCGGAACUGCCUUUGAUACAGCAAGUCUUGAGUUCGAGAGAGGUGGGUGGAAUUCCUAGUGUAGAGGUGAAAUUCGUAGAUAUUAGGAAGAACACCGGUGGCGAAGGCGGCCCACUGGCUCGAUACUGACGCUGAGGUGCGAAAGCGUGGGGAGCAAACAGG